CUUUGCUGGUCCCCUCCCUUGCUCUCAUUUAUGAAAUUUGAGCCAAUAUUGUUUGGAGAUUUUAUAUGAAUUAAGGUUCUUGACCUUGCUUGAACAACCAAAGCAUCUGUGAAUAUUUGAUAUUUUCUCUGUCGUCUCUCUCCCUCUUUCAUUAUUUCUUAUGAGGUUGCUGAUUGGAGCCAUGUUAGUCUAUUUCAGAUUUAGCAGUUUGGAUUGACCUCUGAUCCCAGGGCUAUCAACUCAUUGACUGGCAGUGACUUGUAGUAAGUGUCAGUGACGUGUACUAAGGCCUGCUGGCAUGGAAAAAAUGAACCCAACCAAUUACAGUUUCUUUGAACUAAGAACUUCAGGGAGAAGCAAUGCAUUUCCAAGGGUUUUGAUGAUCAAGGAACUGUGGAGGAAUCUUGACAGGCCAAGGGCAAGCUGAACUGCGAAAGCUUCUGAAAGGUGAGUGAGUGAGUGUGCGCGUGUGCAUGUGUGCGUGUGUAAAGGCCAGAAGCUGAUGACCAGUAUUUUCCUCAACUGCUGUCCAUCUUCUCUUUCACAGCAGAGUUUCUCAUUGAAAUCUGGAGCUCUCCCGUUCCACUAGGCCUGAUGAGCGCUCAGGAUCCUGUGAGCCCCAGGAGACUCCUAUGUGUCCAUCCUCCAGUGAUGGAGUUACUUACACAGAAGUGUUGCUAUGCCCAGCUUCUUACACAAAUCCUGAACCUGACUCCUUGUGCUUGGCAAGCACCUUGCUGAUUGAGCUGUCUCUCCAGCUCCUCAAAAUGAGUUUAUUCUUGGCAGAGCUUAGAAGGAACGGGUGUACCUGACAGCCAUAGACAUGCAAGCUUCUUAAGAUCUGGUUCCCAUCUCUCAGCCCUGAUCAGAUAACUCCCAGGAAAACAGCAAGAACCUACUCAUAUGGUGCCAUUGGAUUUGUAAACGUGAGGAGUAUCUAACUUUUUGAUUAAGUCCUUAGAAACAAAUGCAAAACUGUUCUUGGGCUCUGGUGUGCUUACCAUGAAACUCGACCUUUUCAGUAGCUGUGAUAAUGAACGUACUCUGUGACACAGAUGCCUCAGCACAAGCCUUUUAGAGGGUUCCUCUGCAAG
rnacentral:lncRNA from 1 species